rnacentral:rRNA from 1 species
UACGAAGGCAGCAGUGGGGAAUAUUGCACAAUGGGCGAAAGCCUGAUGCAGCUAUGCCGCGUGUAUGAAGAAGGCCUUAGGGUUGUAAAGUACUUUCAUCGGGGAGGAAAAACAAAACUAAUAAUUUUAUUUCUUGACGUUACCCGAAAAAGAAGCACCGGCUAACUCCGUGCCAGCAGCCGCGGUAAUACGGAGGGUGCUAGCGUUAAUCAGAAUUACUGGGCGUAAAGAGCACGUAGGUGGUUUUUUUAAGUCAGAUGUGAAAUCCCUGGGCUUAACCUGGAACUGCAUUUUGAAACUGAAAUACUAGAGUAUCGUAGAGGGAGGUAGAAUUCUAGGUGUAGCGGUGAAAUGCGUAGAUAUCUGGAGGAAUACCUGUGGCGAAAGCGGCCUCCUAAACGAAUACUGACACUGAGGUGCGAAAGCGUGGGGAGCAAACAGGGAUUAGAUACCCGU